GUCUAAAGCCAUGCUACCCAGAACAAGCCCAAUCCUGUCUGAUUCAUCUCGGAAGCUAAGCAGGGUCGGGCCUGCUUAGUACUUGGAUGGGAGACCGACCACCUAGGAAGACCAGGUGCUGUAGGUG
rnacentral:rRNA from 1 species